GCUGGAAGACAUUUCAGUACCCUAAAGACACCAGAUCCCAUUUGAUCUUGGAAGCUAAGCUGAAUCAGUCCUGGUUAGUACCUGGAUGGGAGGCUGCCAAUGAACACAACGUGCUAUAUGCU
rnacentral:rRNA from 11 species